CCUACGGGGGGCAGCAGUGGGGAAUAUUGGGCAAUGGAGGAAACUCUGACCCAGCAACGCCGCGUGAAUGAUGAAGGUCUUCGGAUGGUAAAGUUCUUUUCUAAGGGAAGAAGAAAGUGACGGUACCUUAGGAAUAAGCCUCGGCUAACUACGUGCCAGCAUCCGCGGUAAUACGUAGGAGGCGAGCGUUAUCCGGAAUGACUGGGCGUAAAGGGUGCGUAGGUGGUUUGGCAAGUUAGUAGUGAAACUCCAAGGCUCAAGCUUGGAACUACUACUAAAACUGUUGGACUUGAGUGCGGGGGGGGCGGCCGGAAUUCCUAGUGUAGCGGUGGAAUGCGUAGAUAUUAGGAGGAACACCAGUGGCGAAGGCAGGUUGCUAGUCUGUAACUGACACUGAGGCACGAAAGCGUGGGGAGCAAACAGGAUUAGAUACCCGUGUAGUC
rnacentral:rRNA from 1 species